AGAACGAACGCUGGCGGCAUGCCUAAUACAUGCAAGUCGAACGAACACUUCGGUGUUAGUGGCGCACGGGUGCGUAACGCGUGGGAAUCUGCCCUUGGGUUCGGAAUAACAGUUGGAAACGACUGCUAAUACCGGAUGAUAUCGAAAGAUCAAAGAUUUAUCGCCCAGGGAUGAGCCCGCGUAGGAUUAGCUAGUUGGUGAGGUAAAGGCUCACCAAGGCGACGAUCCUUAGGCUGGUCUGAGAGGAUGAUCAGCCACACUGGGACUGAGACACGGCCCAGACUCCUACGGGAGGCAGCAGUAGGGAAUAUUGGACAAUGGGGGCAACCCUGAUCCAGCAAUGCCGCGUGAGUGAUGAGGCCUUAGGUGUAAAGCUCUUUACCCGAGAUGAUAAUGACAGUAUCGGAGAAUAAGCUCCGGCUAACUCCGUGCCCAGCAGCCGC
rnacentral:rRNA from 1 species